AUUUGUUGGAUGAGUGUGAGACAUUGGAUUGAUUUUGUUCAAUCUGAGCCCCACAUCAUCAGGGGUUUGU
rnacentral:pre_miRNA from 1 species